UUCUCCUGGAAAAAAGGGUGGUAAUGCCGGAUGCUCCGACUCCUCGCAUGGGGUGUCGGGAAAGAUUUCAUCGGUAUGGGAUGGGGUCGCGUCCUAUCAGGUAGUCGGCGGGGUAACGGCCCACCGAGCCUACGACGGGUAGCCGGCCUGAGAGGGCGACCGGCCACAUUGGGACUGAGAUACGGCCCAGACUCCUACGGGAGGCAGCAGUGGGGAAUAUUGCACAAUGGGCGCAAGCCUGAUGCAGCGACGCCGCGUGCGGGAUGACGGCCUUCGGGUUGUAAACCGCUUUUGAUCGGGAGCAAGCCUUCGGGUGAGUGUACCUUUCGAAUAAGCACCGGCUAACUACGUGCCAGCAGCCGCGGUAAUACGUAGGGUGCAAGCGUUAUCCGGAAUUAUUGGGCGUAAAGGGCUCGUAGGCGGUUCGUCGCGUCCGGUGUGAAAGUCCAUCGCUUAACGGUGGAUCUGCGCCGGGUACGGGCGGGCUGGAGUGCGGUAGGGGAGACUGGAAUUCCCGGUGUAACGGUGGAAUGUGUAGAUAUCGAAAAAAAAACACC
rnacentral:rRNA from 1 species